CAGCAGCCACGGUAAUACGAAGGGGGCUAGCGUUGUUCGGAUUUACUGGGCGUAAAGGGCGCGUAGGCGGACUGAUAAGUCAGGGGUGAAAUCCCAAGGCUCAACCUUGGAACUGCCUUUGAUACUGUUUGUCUUGAGUUCGAGAGAGGUAAGUGGAACUGCGAGUGUAGAGGUGAAAUUCGUAGAUAUUCGCAAGAACACCAGUGGCGAAGGCGGCUUACUGGCUCGAAACUGACGCUGAGGCGCGAAAGCGUGGGGAGCAAACAGGAUUAGAUACCCGCGUAGUCCAUGUUUCUUAUAC
rnacentral:rRNA from 1 species